rnacentral:rRNA from 1 species
UACAGGUGGUAUUGCGUUUUGAACUCAUGAAUAGGCAUAAAGUGUGAUUAGGUGGCAUAUAUAUAUGCUAGAGUUAUAAAAGGAGAGUAAGAGGAAUAACCAAAGGAAGGAUGAAAUCUAUAGAUAUUGGUUGGAACAUCAAUAGCGACAGCAUCACUCUAUUCUAUAACUGACACUCACUCACUAAAGUGUGGGGAGCAAAACGG